CCUACGGGAGGCAGCAGUAGGGAAUAUUGCUCAAUGGGGGAAACCCUGAAGCAGCAACGCCGCGUGGGGGAUGAAGGUUUUCGGAUUGUAAACCCCUUUUGUUAGAGAAGAUAAUGACGGUAUCUGACGAAUAAGCACCGUCUAACUCCGUGCCAGCAGCAGCGGUAAUACGGAGGGUGCAGGCGUUACUCGGAAUCACUGGGCGUAAAGAGCGCGUAGGCGGGAUAGCAAGUCAGAUGUGAAAUCCUAUGGCUUAACCAUAGAACUGCAUUUGAAACUGUUAUUCUAGAGUAUGGGAGAGGUAGGUGGAAUGCUUGGUGUAGGGGUAAAAUGCGUAGAGAUCAAGAAGAAUACUCAUUGCGAAGGCGACCUGCUAGAACAUCACUGACGCUGAUGCGCGAAAGCGUGGGGAGCGAACAGGAUUAGAUACCCUAGUAGUC
rnacentral:rRNA from 1 species